rnacentral:rRNA from 1 species
AGAAGUAAAAGUCGUAACAAGGUUUCCGUAGGUGAACCUGCGGAAGGAUCAUUACUGAAUUGUCAAACGGGUUGUUGCUGGCCCUCAUAGGGGGCAUGUGCACGCUCUGUUUACACAUCCACUCACACCUGUGCACCCUCUGUAGUUCUAUGGUCUGGGGGACCCUGUCUUCCUUCUGUGGUUCUACGUCUUUACACACACACUGUAAUAAAGUUUUAUGGAAUGUACAUCGCGUCUAACGCAAUACAAUACAACUUUCAGCAACGGAUCUCUUGGCUCUCGCAUCGAUGAAGAACGCAGCGAAAUGCGAUAAGUAAUGUGAAUUGCAGAAUUCAGUGAAUCAUCGAAUCUUUGAACGCACCUUGCGCCCCUUGGCUAUUCCGAGGGGCAUGCCUGUUUGAGUAUCAUGAACACCUCAACUCUCAUGGUUUGCCAUGAUGAGUUGGACUCUGGGGGUUUUGCUGGCCUGUGGUCGGCUCCUCUCAAAUUAAUCAGCCUCCCAGUGUUUGGUGGCAUCACGGGUGUGAUAAAUAUCUACGCUCGCUGUUGUCUGCCAGGUAACCUUUGGUCACAAAGGUUUGCUGGAGCUCACAGAUGUCUCUCCUCAGCGAGGACAGCUUUUUUAACGUUCGAUCUCAAAUCAGGUAGGACUACCCGCUGAACUUAAGCAUAUC